GACGAACGCUGGCGGCGUGCUUAACACAUGCAAGUCGAACGGAAAGGCCCUGCUUUUGUGGGGUGCUCGAGUGGCGAACGGGUGAGUAACACGUGAGUAACCUGCCCUUGACUUUGGGAUAACUUCAGGAAACUGGGGCUAAUACCGGAUAGGAGCUCCUGCUGCAUGGUGGGGGUUGGAAAGUUUCGGCGGUUGGGGAUGGACUCGCGGCUUAUCAGCUUGUUGGUGGGGUAGUGGCUUACCAAGGCUUUGACGGGUAGCCGGCCUGAGAGGGUGACCGGCCACAUUGGGACUGAGAUACGGCCCGGACUCCUACGGGAGGCAGCAGUGGGGGAUAUUGCACAAUGGGCGGAAGCCGGAUGCAGCAACGCCGCGUGCGGGAUGACGGCCUUCGGGUUGUAAACCGCUUUCGCCUGUGACGAAGCGUGAGUGACGGUAAUGGGUAAAGAAGCACCGGCUAACUACGUG
rnacentral:rRNA from 1 species